GGAAGGAUCAUUGUCGG
rnacentral:rRNA from 8 species